GUGGGGUGCAGAGCAUCGAAAAACAGUCAGAAAAACGGGUGAAAAUACAGAGUAAAACGAAAAUGUUAGUGGUCACUUCAUCGCUUUGGGUUAUUCGGAAUGUGAGAGACGUCAUUACUGAUAAAGUUUGGAUACUAAAACACGCGUCGGAGCUGUUUUUGUCGAACAGGAGUGAGGCUGCACGUGUAACACACCGGCUACGUCAUGGAUGCAAACAUGAGGCACAAGUCAGAAGAGAGUACAAGAAGCUGACCGUGUUCCACAUAAAUCAGCAACACCUUUGAUGACUGCAGGCCUGACAGUCGAAACAUGUCAGUUCUCACACUGCAAAGCAUGAUGGGGAUAAUCUGCACCUGUGAGCUGGAGAUGAGGGAUUCUGCCUUAUCAGUGAUGGAGUUGAUGUUGCACCAGACAGGAGCCGUGCUGACUGCCUCCACAUCCAGGACUCGAACUUCAACCAGGAAACACAUCAGCUCACAGGGAGAAGAGAGACAGACAUGAAGAUUUACAGUAGGUCAGUGUUAGUUUAUUUUUCUUACUUUUCAGUCUGACUUUGUCAUUAUCUGAGCUGUAGUUUGACAGUUUAAAAUCUGUUGCCUGAAACAAACAUCAACAAGGACUCAAACUUCAACCAGGAAACAGUUGAACUCACAGAGAGAAGAGAAACUGACAUGAAGAUUUACAGGACUCAAACUUCAACCAGGAAACAGUUGAACUCACAGAGAGAAGAGAAACUGACAUGAAGAUUUACAGGACUCAGACUUCAACCAGGAAACACUUCAGCUCACAGAGAGAAGAGAGACUGACAUGAAGAUUUACAGGUCCAGAACCUCAGGUCUGAUGGUGUGGUCUCCUCCACCUGCAGAGACAGAAUUUCUACUGUUAAUUACUACUUCAUUGCUAAUUUCCUGCUAGUAUUAAACAGCAUUAUUACUAUUAUUACUAUUAAUCAUUAUUAAUUACUACUCUUCUACACAUUUGCUGCUAAUGAUAACUUUAAUUACCACUUUCCUAUUUGUUAGUUGUAUGUUACUAAUUAUGUUACUAAUUAGUAA